rnacentral:rRNA from 3 species
AGACCCGAAACCCGGUGAUCUAGCCAUGGGCAGGUUGAAGGUUGGGUAACACUAACUGGAGGACCGAACCGACUAAUGUUGAAAAAUUAGCGGAUGACCUGUGGCUGGGGGUGAAAGGCCAAUCAAACCGGGAGAUAGCUGGUUCUCCCCGAAAGCUAUUUAGGUAGCGCCUCGUGAAUUCAUCUCCGGGGGUAGAGCACUGUUUCGGCUAGGGGGCCAUCCCGGCUUACCAACCCGAUGCAAACUGCGAAUACCGGAGAAUGUUAUCACGGGAGACACACGGCGGGUGCUAACGUCCGUCGUGAAGAGGGAAACAACCCAGACCGCCAGCUAAGGUCCCAAAGUCAUGGUUAAGUGGGAAACGAUGUGGGAAGGCCCAGACAGCCAGGAUGUUGGCUUAGAAGCAGCCAUCAUUUAAAGAAAGCGUAAUAGCUCACUGGUCGAGUCGGCCUGCGCGGAAGAUGUAACGGGGCUAAACCAUGCACCGAAGCUGCGGCAGCGACACUCAGGUGUUGU